GACGAACGCUGGCGGCGUGCUUAACACAUGCAAGUCGAACGGAAAGGCCCUGCUUUUGUGUGUUGCUCGAGUGGCGAACGGGUGAGUAACACGUGAGUAACCUGCCCUUGACUUUGGGAUAACUUCAGGAAACUGGGGCUAAUACCGGAUAGGAGCUCCUGCUGCCUGGUGGGGGUUGGAAAGUUUCGGCGGUUGGGGAUGGACUCGCGGCUUAUCAGCUUGUUGGUGGGGUAGUGGCUUACCAAGGCUUUGCCGGGUAGCCGGCCUGAGAGGGUGACCGGCCACAUUGGGACUGAGAUACGGCCCAGACUCCUACGGGAGGCAGCAGUGGGGAAUAUUGCACAAUGGGCUGAAGCCUGAUGCAGCAACGCCGCGUGCGGGAUGACGGCCUUCGGGUUGUAAACCGCUUUCGCCUGUGACGAAGCGUGAGUGACGGUAAUGGGUAAAGAAGCACCGGCUAACUACGUG
rnacentral:rRNA from 1 species